rnacentral:misc_RNA from 1 species
ACAGUGGAAACGAUAUCAUUGGCAAAGGUGACACUAGAGUGAGCUCCAAAAACCAAAUUUUGUUGGGUUUCAAUCACGUCGCAAUUCAUGUUGAAAUUUGACCUGAUUGAAACUCGAAUUCUAGGCAACCUCAGAUGGCAAACUUGCAUUGAGGGAGUUACCUGGUAGUGGGCCAUCGAUUUGUUGUUUCAGCGCAGCUAUCUGGUGACUAAACAAUGAUGGUUCGUGAAGAGUUGCCAUGAGGUGGAAAACUAUGGUGAG